AUCGAACUGUCUGAGCCUGCCACUGAUAUUUUAAGGGCCGCGGUACUAAACCGCUGCUAAGGUAGCAUAAUCAAUAGUCUUUUACUUGGGGUCUAGAAUGAAAGGUUGGACGAAAGAUUAUCUGUCUUAUAUAAAUAAAGAAUUUUACUUUUAAGUGAAAAGGCUUAAAUGAAAUAAUGGGACGAUAAGACCCUGUGAAGUUUGAAUAAAUAUAAAAUAAAAAUUUAAUUAUAUAUAUUAUUAUUUAUUUUAUAUUAUAAUAAUAGCUGGGGCGGCUAAAAUAAUAAUAUUAACUAACUUAUUAGAGAAAAAUAAAAAUAAUUAAUUAAUUUUAUCCUUCCUUUAAGAAAAAACAAUAAAACAACUCCCUGGAUAACAAACAGAAUUUUUCUUGAGAGAUCUUAUCUACCGACAGAAGUAGCGACCACCAUGAUGAAUAAAAAUAUCUUUCAUUGCGGAGAAGCAUUAAUUGUUAUGGUGCUGACCUUCAAAAUUAUACUACAUUGCGUGGGGGACACGGGCGGGACACGAUUAAAGUCUACGUGAUCUGAGUUCAGACCGAUUUUUUUUUUUUUUUUUUUGGGCGCGGGGGGGGGGGGCGACGGAAAACCCACCACCCUCCCCACC
rnacentral:rRNA from 1 species